rnacentral:rRNA from 1 species
GCUUGUCUCAAAGAUUAAGCCAUGCAUGUCUAAGUAUAAAUGUUAUACAGUGAAACUGCGAAUGGCUCAUUAAAACAGUUAUAGUUUAUUUGAUAAUCGAAUUUACAUGGAUAACCGUGGUAAUUCUAGAGCUAAUACAUGCUGGUUAGCCUGACUUUUAGGAAGGGCUGUAUUUAUUAGAUAACAAACCAAUAUUCCUCGUGUCUAUUGUGAUGACUCAUAAUAACUGAUCGAAUCGCAAAGCCUUUGGCUGCGAUAUGUCAUUCAAGUUUCUGCCCCAUCAGCUUUCGAUGGUAGUGUAUUGGACUACCAUGGCUUUUACGGGUAACGGAGAAUUAGGGUUCGAUUCCGGAGAGGGAGCCUGAGAAACGGCUACCACAUCUAAGGAAGGCAGCAGG